UGGCUAUUUUCGUCUUCUGUUCUUAGUUCAGCUUCUAGUUUGGGGAAUGAGAACCUCAACCAGAACCCUCGGACUUUGCUGCCUAAAUUCUAUGGACUGUACUGUGUGCAGGCAGGUGGCAAGAACAUUCGGAUUGUGGUGAUGAACAAUCUUUUACCAAGAUCGGUAAAAAUGCAUAUCAAAUAUGACCUCAAAGGCUCAACCUACAAACGGCGGGCUUCCCAGAAAGAGCGAGAGAAGCCUCUUCCCACAUUUAAAGACCUAGACUUCUUACAAGACAUCCCUGAUGGUCUUUUUUUGGAUGCUGACAUGUACAACGCUCUCUGUAAGACCCUGCAGCGUGACUGUUUGGUGCUGCAGAGCUUCAAGAUAAUGGAUUAUAGCCUCUUGAUGUCAAUCCAUAAUAUAGAUCAUGCACAACGAGAGCCCUUAAGCAGUGAAACACAGUACUCAGUUGAUACUCGAAGACCGGCCCCCCAAAAGGCUCUGUAUUCCACAGCCAUGGAAUCCAUCCAGGGAGAGGCUCGACGGGGUGGUACCA
rnacentral:sRNA from 1 species